ACCAUGUACGUGACGGAUCUGUUCCAUGCCAUUGCACCUGAGAUCCCAAGAGACCUAUUAGUGCUGGACCGCGUGCACAGAGUUGCCAGACCAAAAUUCCUACCUCCAGAAACACCAAGGGACGUGAUGCUUCGCCUCCACUACUACCAUGCCAAGGAAGAAAUACUCAAACGAAGCUGUUCCCGCAAAGAUUGGCCAGAGAGAUUCCAG